CUGGUUGAUCCUGCCGGAGGCCAUUGCUAUUGGGAUCCGAUUAAGCCAUGCUAGUCGAACGGGCGCAAGCCCGUGGCGAACAGCUCAGUAACACGUGGCCAAGCUACCCUCUGGACUGGGAUACCCUCGGGAAACUGAGGUUAAUCCCGGAUACCGCUUCCAUCCUGGAAUUGGAGGAAGCCGGAAACGCUCCGGCGCCAGAGGAUGCGGCUGCGGCCGAUUAGGUAGACGGUGGGGUAACGGCCCACCGUGCCGAUAAUCGGUACGGGUGGUGAGAGCCAGAGCCCGGAGACGGUAUCUGAGACAAGAUACCGGGCCCUACGGGGCGCAGCAGGCGCGAAACCUUUACAAUGUGCGACAGCACGAUAAGGGGAUCCCAAGUGCGAGGGCAUAUCGUCCUCGCUUUUCUGGACCGUAAGGAGGUUCAGGAACAAGGGCUGGGCAAGACCGGUGCCAGCCGCCGCGGUAAUACCGGCAGCCCAAGUGAUGGCCGAUUUUACUGGGCCUAAAGCGUCCGUAGCCGGCCGGAAAAGUCCGUCGGGAAAUCCACCCGCUUAACGGGUGGACGUCCGGCGGAAACUAUCCGGCUUGGGGCCGGAAGGCCUGAGGGGUACGUCCGGGGUAGGAGUGAAAUCCUGUAAUCCCGGACGGACCGCCGGUGGCGAAAGCGCCUCAGGAGGACGGACCCGACGGUGAGGGACGAAAGCUAGGGUCUCGAACCGGAUUAGAUACCCGGGUAGUCCUAGCCGUAAACGAUGCUCGCUAGAUGUGGCACAGGCUACGAGCCUGUGCUGUGCCGUAGGGAAGCCGUGAAGCGAGCCGCCUGGGAAGUACGUCCGCAAGGAUGAAACUUAAAGGAAUUGGCGGGGGAGCACUACAACCGGAGGAGCCUGCGGUUUAAUUGGACUCAACGCCGGACAUCUCACCAGCACCGACAGUAGCUGUGAAGGUCAGGUUGAUGACCUUACUGGAGCUACUGAGAGGAGGUGCAUGGCCGCCGUCAGCUCGUACCGUGAGGCGUCCUGUUAAGUCAGGCAACGAGCGAGACCCGUGUCCGUAGUUGCCAGCAGCACAUAUGUGGCUGGGUACACUACGGAGACUGCCUGUGCCAAACAGGAGGAAGGAGCGGGCAACGGUAGGUCAGUAUGCCCCGAAUGUGCUGGGCAACACGCGGGCUACAAUGGCCGGGACAAUGGGAUGCUACCCCGAGAGGGGACGCUAAUCUCCUAAACCCGGUCGUAGUUCGGAUUGAGGGCUGCAACUCGCCCUCAUGAAGCUGGAUUCGGUAGUAAUCGCGCGUCAGCAACGCGCGGUGAAUACGUCCCUGCUCCUUGCACACACCGCCCGUCAAGUCACCCGAGUGAGGUCCGGAUGAGGCCGCCAUACGGCGGUCGAAUCUGGGCUUCGCAAGGGGGACUAAGUCGUAACAAGGUAACCA
rnacentral:rRNA from 1 species